GCACGCCGCGGCGAGGAUUUGCGCCAGCACUUGUGGGGUGCCAGGUGUAUGAAGACCGUCGCGCGUGCCGUAGCGCGCAGCGAGCA
rnacentral:tRNA from 1 species